UCGUCCGAGAUGUCCUCGAGAAUCUUCCACAAAAGCGGUGUCAAGGAGGCGCGGAGUGUUAUUAAAGUUGCUGCAGUGCUGACUGUAUACCUCACGGGUGGCCGGUAGUUAUUGUAGAUUAUUCAAA